UGCCUUCGGGAGCCGUAACACAGGUGCUGCAUGGCUGUCGUCAGCUCGUGUCGUGAGAUGUUGGGUUAAGUCCCGCAACGAGCGCAACCCUUGUCAUUAGUUGCCAUCAUUAAGUUGGGCACUCUAAUGAGACUGCCGGUGACAAACCGGAGGAAGGUGGGGAUGACGUCAAGUCCUCAUGGCCCUUAUGACCAGGGCUUCACACGUCCUACAAUGGUCGGUACAAAGGGUAGCCAAGCCGCGAGGUGGAGCCAAUCUCACAAAACCGAUCGUAGUCCGGAUUGCACUCUGCAACUCGAGUGCAUGAAGUCGGAAUCGCUAGUAAUCGCAGGUCAGCAUACUGCGGUGAAUACGUUCCCGGG
rnacentral:rRNA from 1 species